UACGAAGGGUGCAAGCGUUACUCGGAAUUAUCGUGGGCGUAAAAGGCGUGCGUAGGUGGUUGUUUAAGUCUGUUGGUGAAAGCCCUGGGCGUCAACCUGGGAAUUGCAGUGGAUACUGGGCGACUAGAGUGUGGUAGAGGGUAGUGGAAUUCCGGUGUAGCAGUGAAAUGCGUAGAGAUCGGGAGGAACAUCCAUGGCGAAGGCAGCUGACCUGGACCAACACUGACACUGAGGCACGAAAGCGUGGGGAGCAAAGCGGGAUUAAGAAACCCGGA
rnacentral:rRNA from 1 species